UACGGAGGGGGCAAGCGUUGUCCGGAAUUAUUGGGCGUAAAGCGCGCGCAGGCGGUUCUUUAAGUCUGGUGUAUAAGUGCGGGGCUCAACCCCGUGAGGCACUGGAAACUGGGGAACUUGAGUGCAGAAGAGGAGAGCGGAAUUCCACGUGUAGCGGUGAAAUGCGUAGAGAUGUGGAGGAACACCAGUGGCGAAGGCGGCUCUCUGGACUGUAACUGACGCUGAGGCGCGAAAGCGUGGGGAGCAAACAGG
rnacentral:rRNA from 1 species